rnacentral:rRNA from 1 species
AAUGAACGCUGGCGGCAUGCCUAACACAUGCAAGUCGAACGAAGGCUUCGGCCUUAGUGGCGCACGGGUGCGUAACGCGUGGGAAUCUGCCCCUUGGUUCGGAAUAACAGUUAGAAAUGACUGCUAAUACCGGAUGAUUACGUAAGUCCAAAGAUUUAUCGCCGAGGGAUGAGCCCGCGUAGGAUUAGCUAGUUGGUGUGGUAAGAGCGCACCAAGGCGACGAUCCUUAGCUGGUCUGAGAGGAUGAUCAGCCACACUGGGACUGAGACACGGCCCAGACUACUACGGGAGGCAGCAGUGGGGAAUAUUGGACAAUGGGCGAAAGCCUGAUCCAGCAAUGCCGCGUGAGUGAUGAAGGCCUUAGGGUUGUAAAGCUCUUUUACCCGGGAUGAUAAUGACAGUACCGGGAGAAUAAGCUCCGGCUAACUCCGUG